rnacentral:rRNA from 1 species
AACGAACGCUGGCGGCAGGCUUAACACAUGCAAGUCGAACGGGUGCAGCAAUGCAUCAGUGGCAGACGGGUGAGUAACACGUGGGAACCUUCCUAGGGGUACGGAACAACUCAGGGAAACUUGAGCUAAUACCGUAUACGUCCGUGAGGAGAAAGAUUUAUCGCCCUUAGACGGGCCCGCGCCGGAUUAGCUAGUUGGUGGUGUAACGGCCUACCAAGGCGACGAUCCGUAGCUGAUCUUAGAGGAUGAUCAGCCACACUGGGACUGAGACACGGCCCAGACUCCCGCGGGAGGCAGCAGUGGGGAAUCUUGGACAAUGGGCGCAAGCCUGAUCCAGCCAUGCCGCGUGAGUGAAGAAGGUCUUCGGAUUGUAAAGCUCUUUUGCAAGGGACGAUAAUGACGGUACCUGGAGAAUAAGCCCCGGCAAACUUCGUGCCAGCAGCCGCGGUAAAAC